rnacentral:rRNA from 1 species
AGAGCGAACGCUGGCGGCAGGCCUAACACAUGCAAGUCGAGCGCCCGUAGCAAUACGGGAGCGGCAGACGGGAUAGUAACACGUGGGAACGCGCCCUUCGGUUCGGAAUAACUCAGGGAAACUUGAGCUAAUACCGGAUACGCCCUUACGGGGAAAGAUUUAUUGCCGAAGGAACGGCCCGCGUCCGAUUAGCUAGUUGGUGAGGUAAUGGCUCACCAAGGCGACGACGGGUAGCC